AGUGGGCGGAGAAGGCGUUACAAGCCAAGGGUGCCUGUGCGUAGGCGGGGAAAUCUGGUAGAUCCAUAGGAACUCCUGGGUCCUAGGGUUAAGGGAGUGAGCCCCCUACCCUGACCUUUGCUUCCAACUCCCAUAGAGGGUGUCAAAUCUUAUGUACUGGGACUCCUAAAACAUCUGAAGUCUACCAUCUCCUUCCUAGCCUCAUCUUCCUGGGCCCUUAAAUACCUCUUCCUAGAUGAAGGCAGCACCUUGAGACUAAAUUCAACCCAACACUACAGGUUGGGUUGCAGAUAUGGCCUUGAAGCAAUGGUAAAGGAAAAAGAAUCAGAAAAUUGGCUGCCAUCGCUACAGGCUGUGUACUUAGUUAUGUGUCAUCUGUAUCUCUACUGCAACCCUUGCUAGAAUGUGUGCCGGCUAUGAGCAGGGUCACUGUCUGUCUUGUUCACUGCUAGAUCCUCAGCACGUGGAACUAUACCUGGAACAUGGAAGGAAGUCAAGCAAUAUUUAUUUAAUGUUAAAUAAGUGAAUCUCUGUAGCAUUAAUGGUAAAAAGACUUCCAUAUUUGCCUUCAAUUAGAUUUUAAGAUGACAGUCUAUAAAAAACAGCUUGCAAUAUACAGAAGUUCAUUUAAGAAUAACUUUGCUGGUAUCUAUUCUCUUGAGGUAUACUUACAUGCUAUUUUUUUCAAAAUCACGAAGCAAUCAGUAUCUGCCAAACGGAAUGAAAGCUGGAUCACAAAGAGGGAUAAAGAAG
rnacentral:lncRNA from 1 species